AUUGAACGCUGGCGGCAUGCCUUACACAUGCAAGUCGAACGGCAGCGGGGACUUCGGUCCGCCGGCGAGUGGCGAACGGGUGAGUAAUGUAUCGGAACGUACCUUUCAGUGGGGGAUAACGUAGCGAAAGUUACGCUAAUACCGCAUCUUCUCUGAGGAGGAAAGCAGGGGACCUUCGGGCCUUGUGCUGAUGGAGGGGCCGAUAUCAGAUUAGCUAGUUGGUGAGGUAAAGGCUCACCAAGGCGACGAUCUGUAGCGGGUCUGAGAGGAUGAUCCGCCACACUGGGACUGAGACACGGCCCAGACUCCUACGGGAGGCAGCAGUGGGGAAUUUUGGACAAUGGGCGCAAGCCUGAUCCAGCCAUGCCGCGUGAGUGAAGAAGGCCUUCGGGUUGUAAAGCUCUUUCGGACGGGAAGAAAUUGGUGGGGCUAAUAUCCCCACCGGAUGACGGUACCGUAAUAAGAAGCACCGGCUAACUACGUGCCAGCCGCCGCGGUAAGAC
rnacentral:rRNA from 1 species